UUUUUUUUUUUUUUUUUUUUUUCUUUGUCUUUUGUCUUUUUAGGACUGCACCUGCGGCAUAUGUCGGUUCCCAGGGGUCAAAUCCAAGCUACAGAUACUGGCCUAUGCUACAACCACAGCAACGCGGGAUCCAAGCCGUGUCUGUAACCUACACCACAGCUCACAGCAAUGCUGGAUCCUUAACCCCACUGAUCGAGGCCAGGAAUCAAACCUGCAUCCUCACGGAUGCUAGUCAGAUUCGUUUCUGCUGAGCCACGAUGGGAACUCCUAUCACCUAGUUUUUAAAGUAUUUAUUUGCAAUAACUAAUAUAAAGUAAAUAUUUCCAAAUUUGCAUUAUUACAUAGAGUAUUAGUUUUAGACUUUCAUAUGGAAUUUCUGUCCACUAGUUAAGACAUAUUUGAGAAUGAAGAACCAGACUAAUUGACUCAUUCAAAAAGUCUUUAUUUGCUAAGUGUCAUAGUACUAUGUACAAAAGUCCAAGGUGGGCUGUGGGGAUACAAAGAUGAAAACGGCAUAUUCCCUACCAUCUUGCUUAUGAUCUAUUGGGAAAACAAUGACAAAAAAAAAAUUUGACUACAUAUAGGAGUUCCCUGGUGGCUCAGCAGGUUAAGGACCCGGUGUUGCCACUGCAGGGGCUGGGGUCACUGCUGUGGUGCCAGUUCAAUCCCUGGCCCAGGAACUUCUGCAUGCCAAGGGCACGGCCAAAAAAAACCUACAUAUGAAAAGCUAAAAUGGGGUAAGUAAUUGUGGGACAUCAAAGGAAGGAUGUCUAGAAGGGAACCAGAGGAACAAUGAAAAGUGUUUUAAAUGACUGACAAUCAAAUACUAAAUGCUAAAAGGACUGGAUGGGCUGGAGGAAUGUACUUUGCCUUUGGUGUCACAUGGCAGUGGACUUUUGUUAAUCGUACUUCCAGCACUAACACAGGCCAUGUGCAGGCAGGGGUCUGGGGCGACGCACCCAGGCAGUUUCAGAGAUGGGCCCUGAGUGCCUGCAGCGCAACCUCCACUCACAAAGAUAGGGUCAGGAAGUGACACAGGAUGAAGAGAUGGCUGUUAGGGCUUCUGGGGACAAAAAGGCUUCUUCUCGUCCAGGAGUUUCAUAACAAGACUCUCUCUCAGUGGCACAAGGAUGAGAAGCCUAGGAGCUGUUUGUAGCCAUCUUUCACCCACGAGAGUCUGCAAAGGGCGUCAACAUUGGAAGCAGAGAGAUGAGAAGCGGAGCCUGAGCCCUGGUCCUGACACUGAGCCUGGAUCAAGUCGUGCUUUCUGGUGAUGGGAGCCCAUCCCUUUUAUUGAAACCAGACUAAGCUGUGUGAUCUACACCAUGCAACCUAGAGAGGCCUAACGCAACUAUUUAAAAAUGAACAUAAAUGAAACCUAGGGAAGCAUGCUUCUCUAAACUCCUUUCCUCCUCUUCCAAGUAACAAGCGUGUGCAGUAUCAAUGCUAACAUCGCAAACGAAGGAGUAUCAAACACAUGCAAUAUCGUGUUGUCAUGUAGAGAUACGGCACAAUACUCUUUCUAAAGC
rnacentral:lncRNA from 1 species